rnacentral:lncRNA from 1 species
UAUCUAGGUACGCACCCUACUCCUACAGUGGACCAACUGUCGCUAACAUUCACUACAAAGGCUCAUUGAGUUAAUAUUUUUGUAUAGUCAAACUCCAGCAGCCUCACUCGAGCAGCUGUAACACUGCGGUCAAAUGACCAGUCAUACUACUGGAGCAUCGAGAAAGUCACUAACAAGUGAGCAGAUAUCCAUGUGACUUCUCAUGUUGGUCACGCUCAGUGCUAGUUCUCUAACAACCACCUGCACUCUUGUUCCAGUGUCACUACACCGC